rnacentral:scRNA from 1 species
GGGGUUGGGGAUUUAGCUCAGUGGUAGAGCGCUUGCCUAGCAAGCACAAGGCCCUGGGUUUGGUCCCCAGCUCCGAAAGAAAAAAAAGAGUU